AUUGAACGCUGGCGGCAGGCCUAACACAUGCAAGUCGAACGAGUGGCGGACGGGUGAGUAAUGUCUGGGAAACUGCCUGAUGGAGGGGGAUAACUACUGGAAAAGGUAGCUAAUACCGCAUACCAUCGGAUGUGCCCAGAUGGGAUUAGCUAGUAGGUGGGGUAACGGCGCACCUAGGCGACGAUCCCUAGCUGGGCUGAGCGGAUGACAAGCCACACGGGAACGGAGACAAGGUCCAGACGCCUACGGGAGGCAGCAGUGGAGAAUAUUGCACAAUGGUCUGAAGCCGGAUGCAGCCAGGCCGCGUGUAUGAAGAAGGCCUUCGGGUUGUAAAGUACUUUCAGCGGGGAGGCGUUACCCGAAGAAGAAGCACCGGCUAACUCCGUGCCAGCAGCCGCGGUAAUAC
rnacentral:rRNA from 1 species